GAGAUUUACACGAGCAGUUCCGUGGUCACGGCUCCGUGCAACGAGGAGAGGAUCUCCGUGCAGCGCGAAGAAGAUCUCUGCGCGCGCGGACGUCCGUGAUUUCGUCCUCCUUCCUCCAUGUUUUUACCCGGGCUGAGGAAAAAAGGGAGAUUUACACACAUUCUGGGGGAAAUUUAUUAAAAUACGUUGAGGGAAGUCUUGGGAUUUUUUGGUUGAAAAUUCUUUGAUUUGUUGCGGAAAAAUUGAUUAUUGAGGUGCGAAACUUAAAUGACGUGUUUGAGAUUUGAUUGGAAGUUCUUUGGCUAUGAAGUCUGAGAAUUCAUCCCCAUCAACCAUUCUGGUCAAAUGUAGCAUUUCACUCUCCUGAGUCUCGUCUAGGUCUUGGAGAUGUACGUUGCAAUUCCACCUCAUCAAUGGCUUUUUGGGGUACAACCAGCCAAACCAUAUAUCCACCGAUACAAUGAAAGGGGAAGACUUCAUAUAUCUCAGGCAACACUGGGUAGUGGUUCGUCAACUAGGAAGAGCAAAGUGCAGUGUAAUGUGGAAGUGCUGGGAUUAGUAUGUUUCUUUCAAUUUUAGAAAUAUUCUCAUUUUUUUUUUCGGGAUUUAUAAUUUAGUUAAUAAAUAUUUGUAAAUGCAGAAAGAUGAUUUUUUAUUUUAUUUUUGCUAGACUGGUGAUUUAGUUUUUUUGAGUUGAUUGAAAUAUCAUUUCUGGUAAGCUACAGGUGAAAUUGGGUUGAGUGACCCCAAUUUUAAAUGCUUUAACUGGAAUUCUGAGAAUUUGGGCUACACGCUCAUUGCUUUUGUGAGGUGCAUGUAAAUUAUUAUGUAGUAAAGUUGGAGUAAAAAUGAGGUGUUGAUUUAUUUGUUCAAGUAGUUAUAUUUGCCAAAAAAAGUUGAGAUGUAGAUGGGAGUAUGUUUACUGAUAUAGUCUAAGAUUCUAGCUCAAAUUGUUUGAGGUUGUUGAGAGAGUGU